rnacentral:rRNA from 1 species
UGAGGAAUAUUGGGCAAUGGGCGAAAGCCUGACCCAGCAACGCCGCGUGAGGGAUGAAGGCCUUCGGGUCGUAAACCUCUUUUCUGGGAGAAGAGACAAGGACGGUAUCCCAGGAAUAAGUCUCGGCUAACUACGUGCCAGCAGCCGCGGUAAUACGUAGGAGGCUAGCGUUAUCCGGAUUCACUGGGCGUAAAGCGCACGCAGGCGGUCAUGUAAGUCGGACGUGAAAGCUCCUGGCUCAACUGGGAGAGGUCGUUCGAUACUGCAUGGCUUGAGGUUGGGAGAGGGAAGCGGAAUUCCCGGUGUAGUGGUGGAAUGCGUAGAUAUCGGGAGGAACACCAGUGGCGAAAGCGGCUUCCUGGCCCAUACCUGACGCUCAGGUGCGAAAGCGUGGGGAGCGAACGGGAUUAGAUACCCCGGUAGUCCACGCUGUAAACGAUGCGAACUAGGUGUUGGUAGUAUUAAUCCUAUCAGUGCCGUAGCUAACGCGAUAAGUUCGCCGCCUGGGGACUACGGCCGCAAGGCUA